AAUGAACGUUGGCGGCGUGGAUUAGGCAUGCAAGUCGAGCGAGAAGAUUCCUUCGGGAAUUGGACAGCGGCGAAAGGGAGAGUAACGCGUAGAUAUCUACCUCGAGGACCGGGAUAGCGGCGGGAAACUGCCGGUAAUACCGGAUAACAUCUCAGGAUCAAAGGUGUGAUUCCGCCUCGAGAUGAGUCUGCGUCCUAUUAAUGCUUGUUGGUGUGGUAACGGCGCACCAAGGCGAAGAUGGGUACCGGGUGUGAGAGCAUGGCCCGGCUCACUGGGACUGAGACACUGCCCAGACACCUACGGGUGGCUGCAGUCGAGAAUCUUCGGCAAUGGGCGAAAGCCUGACCGAGCGACGCCGCGUGCGGGAUGAAGGCCCUCGGGUUGUAAACCGCUGUCAGUAGGGAGCAAAUUUCUUGGGGUUAUCCCCUUGAAUUGAGCGAUCUUCAGAGGAAGUACGGGCUAAGUUCG
rnacentral:rRNA from 1 species